GGCGGGUUAGCGUAAUGGUUAACGCGCCAGUUUCCGGUUUGAGCGGAGUUCACUUAACCACUGCCCUAACUGAGCUGGAGAUUCCGGGUUCGAGUCCCGGGCCUGUCG